rnacentral:rRNA from 1 species
GAUCAUGGCUCAGGAUGAACGCUAGCUACAGGCUUAACACAUGCAAGUCGAGGGGAAACGAUAUUGGAAGCUUGCUUCCGAUAGGCGUCGACCGGCGCACGGGUGAGUAACGCGUAUCCAACCUGCCCACCACUUGGGGAUAACCUUGCGAAAGUAAGACUAAUACCCAAUGAUAUCUCUAGAAGACAUCUGAAAGAGAUUAAAGAUUCAUCGGUGAUGGGUGGGAUGCGU